rnacentral:rRNA from 1 species
UACAUGGGGUGCAAACGUUGCUCGGAAUUAUUGGGCGUAAAGCGCACGUAGGCGGAUUGUUAAGUCAGGGGUGAAAUCCUGGAGCUCAACUCCAGAACUGCCUUUGAUACUGGCGAUCUCGAGUUCGGGAGAGGUGAGUGGAACUGCGAGUGUAGAGGUGAAAUUCGUAGAUAUUCGCAAGAACACCAGUGGCGAAGGCGGCUCACUGGCCCGAUACUGACGCUGAGGUGCGAAAGCGUGGGGAGCAAACAGG